UAGUAAGUGGGUCUCUUUCCCUGAGUGCCUGCUCGGUGCUCACUCUGUGCCUGGGCCCCAAGAUAGGAGGGUGAUUUAGCGGCUGUGAGCCCCACCAUCAUGGAGUUUCUGGCACACCCUGCCAGCCUGCAGAACUCUCGGCUCUGCUGAGCUCCCUGGUUACCAGGACUACAGCACUUCCACAUGGAUGAGGAGUUUUGACAAAUGUGUGGUACCCAUUCCUGCAAACAAAGCCAUUUAUUUUAGGCUGAAGCAUUUGCAGGAAAAUUUAAAUAAUCUAUCUAGAAUGUGUCAAAUUGAAUGCUUUCAUUAAAUCUUCUUGGAUUUCUUCUUUGGAACAUUUAUAAACUAAAAGCCUUGUUAUCUUAAGUUUCUCAACUUACUCUCUGCCUUUGACUGCAAACAGGAUGUUCGGACUAAACAUUCUGAGCCUGAGAGAAAUGUCUUAGGUCAUCACUGAAGUGAGUAAGGGCCCCACUCAAUACUGAAUGCUUGGGACAAAUAAGAGAUUUUUUUUUUUUUUUUGAGCCACAACCACUGCUAAAUGGUUAUGAGCCAAAGACCAGGAGACAUCCCCAAACCCAUUCUUCUCCAAAAUACUGUAUUUCAUGAAAAUACGUGUUCCUGAAAAUCCCAAUAAAAAAAUGGAAUCCUCUUGGAAGGAAGGCCAAUCGACCCAGGAGGACCAGCCCCAAACUUGUGCUUGCAUUGACUUUUAGUAGGAUUCCUCUGUUUGGGGACUGGCCAGCACAGGUGACCUAGGGAUGAGACACUGCCCUUGAUAGUCAGAACUUCAGAGGGGGAAGGAAGGAAAGGGAGAAGUGCUGGGCAGACUUCCCCUGGAAAGUUCUGGAAAGUCAAGGCCUAAGGGAACUCUCUCUAAACAUGGAGGGGACAUGUUAUCUACCUUACCCUGCAGAGGGUCAGCUCCUGUUUGCCUCUAAGCAACUUAUGACACAUUUCAAAGUACAAAUAGAACUUUUCCCUUCAAGAGUCUUGAUGAAUGUUUCUGCAUGUGACCAGGGUUUAAUGUGGCAAGGAUAUUUUGAAGGUGUCUCAUCCUUACUGGGGCCUUCAGGACUGGCUGCACUUCAUGUCCCCUUCUCCCAGUGCACUGACCUACCAUCCCAGAAGGGCCCCUGCCAGAGCAUAUUGUGCUGGGCGGUCACGGGUGGCAGAAACUGCUGGCCUCUCUUUCGAUAACCCACAGGACACAUUUGCACCUCCAGCACUUUCCGCACAAAGCGGUGCGUGUAGCAACCCCCAUGUGUGGUUCAGAAGCCGUUGGCUAUGCUGCUUUAUAAUUCAUCUUUCUCUUCGGCUUCUGGAGAGUCCAGUGAGAGAUCCAGACCCUCCUGCUGUCUGUUCGGUGAG
rnacentral:lncRNA from 1 species